rnacentral:tRNA from 1 species
GCAGGUAUAGUAUAAAGGUUAGUAUGGGACACUUCCAAUGUUCAUGUGAAAGUUCGAGUCUUUCUAUCUGCA